rfam:Candidatus Raymondbacteria bacterium RIFOXYD12_FTLL_49_13 rifoxyd3_full_scaffold_298, whole genome shotgun sequence.
GAUCAAGCAAUCAAGGGCGUAUGGUGAAUGCCUUGGCAUUGGAAGGCGAUGAAGGACGUGGUAAGCUGCGAUAAGCGUCGGUGAGGAGCAAACAUCCUUUGAUCCGGCGAUUUCCGAAUGGGGCAACCCUUCCCGAGUAAUGUCGGGAAACUUCCGGAUGAAUACAUAGUCUGGAUAGAGCGAACGGGGGGAAGUGAAACAUCUCAGUACCCCCAGGAAGAGAAAGUAAUAACGAUUGCCUUAGUAGUGGCGAGCGAAAGGGCAAUAGCCUAAACUGUGUGUGCGUGAUAGCCGAUACGCGUUGUACACAUGGAGUAGCGGGACCUGAGGCGCUGUUGUAUCGAACAGCGGAAGAGUGGAAAAAUUCCUAUCUAGCUGAAUGGCCUGGAAAGGCCGACCAUAGACGGUGAAAGUCCAGUAAGCGAAAGGUGAGGAAUCUCUUCUCUCAGGCACCCAAGUAUCACGGGACACGUGGAAUCUUGUGUGAAUCUGCGAGGACCAUCUCGUAAGGCUAAAUACUCUCCAAUGACCGAUAGUGAACCAGUACCGUGAGGGAAAGGUGAAAAGCACCCCUAGCGGGGAGUGAAAUAGUACCUGAAACCGUACGCCUACAAGCGGUCGGAGUCAGCCUUUGGCUGAUGACGGCGUGCCUUUUGUAGAAUGACCUAGCGAGUUACUGUAUGCAGCAAGGUUAAGCAUAUCAUAUGCGAAGCCGUAGCGAAAGCGAGUCUGAAUAGGGCGAUUUAGUUGCAUGCAGUAGACGCGAAACCAGUUGAUCUAUCCAUGACCAGGUUGAAGCUUGGGUAAAACCAAGUGGAGGACCGAACCAAUUGAAGUUGAAAAUUCACUGGAUGAGUUGUGGAUAGGGGUGAAAGGCUAAUCAAAGCUGGUGAUAGCUCGUUCUUCCCGAAAUAUAUUUAGGUAUAGCCUUGCGUCAGAGAGUAACGGCGGUAGAGCACUGAUUGGACUAGGGGACUUACCGGUCUACCAAACCCAUUUCAAACUCCGAAUUCCGUUACUUGUUACGCAGGAGUCAGACUACGAGUGAUAAGAUUCGUGGUCGAGAGGGAAACAGCCCAGACCAUCGGCUAAGGUCCCAAAAUACAUGCUCAGUGAAAAAGGAUGUGGAUUUACUCAGACAGCUAGGAUGUUGGCUUAGAAGCAGCCAUCAUUUAAAGAAAGCGUAAUAGCUCACUAGUCAAGUGAAUGCGCGCCGAAAAUACCCGGGACUCAAGCAUGUUACCGAAGCUGUGGACUUGUAUCGGUCUUCGGACCGAUCAAGUGGUAGGGAAGCGUUCCAAUAACCGCUGAAGUCAGGUUGUAAAGCCUGGUGGAGGAGUUGGAAACGAGUAUGCUAGGAUAAGUAGCGAUAAUGAGGGUUAAAAAACCUCACACCGUAAGCCCAAGGUUUCCUGAGUAAAGCUAAUCUGCUCAGGGUUAGUCGGACCCUAAGUCGAGGCCAAUUAGGCGUAGAUGAUGGAAGACAGGUCAACAUUCCUGUACCAUUUAACGCGCGUUUGAGCUAUGGGGGGACGCAGAAGUGAAAGCCAUCCUCACGAUUGGAAGUGUGAGGCCAAGCGAGUAGGAGGGGGAUUUUGGAAAAUCCGGAUCCCCGUUAACUCCGAGACGUGAUGGGAAAGAGAUCCUUCGGGUGAUCGAACUGGCUAUAAACAUGCUGCCAAGAAAAUCCUCUAUGCGAGUGCGUUGAAUGUCCGUACUGAAAACCAACACAGGUGGGCGAGGCGAGUAGCCUCAGGUGCUCGAGAAAACCGUGGUAAAGGAACUCGGCAAAUUGGCUCCGUAACUUCGGAAGAAGGAGUGUCAUAGUGGGUGUAGAUCCUUGCGGUCGAAGCCCGUUAUGAUCGCAGUGAAAUGGCCCAGGCGACUGUUUAUCAAAAACACAGGUCAAUGCAAAGUCGUAAGACGCAGUAUAUUGACUGACACGUGCCCGGUGCUGGAAGGUUAACAGGAGAAGUCAGCCGCAAGGCGAAGCUUUGAAUCGAAGCCCCAGUAAACGGCGGCCGUAACUAUAACGGUCCUAAGGUAGCGAAAUUCCUUGUCGGGUAAGUUCCGACCUGCACGAAUCGUGUAACGAUCUGGGCACUGUCUCUACCACGGACUCGGCGAAAUUGUAGUAUCGGUGAAGAUGCCGAUUACCUGCAGCUGGACAGAAAGACCCUAUGCACCUUUACUGUAACUUGGCAUUGAGUCUUGGCAUUGCAUGUGUAGGAUAGGUGGGAGACUUUGAAGUCUUGGCGCUAGCUAGGAUGGAGUCGACGUUGAAAUACCACCCUUGUGCUGACGAGGUUCUAACUCGGGACCGUUAUCCGGACCGAGGACAUUGCCAGGGGGUCAGUUUGACUGGGGCGGUCGCCUCCCAAAAUGUAACGGAGGCUUCCAAAGGUUCGCUCAGCGUGAUUAGUAACCACGCGUGGAGUGUAAAGGCAUAAGCGGGCCUGACUGUGAGACUUACAAGUCGAGCAGAUGCGAAAGCAGGGCUUAGUGAUCCGGCGGUUGUGAAUGGAAACGCCGUCGCUCAAAGGAUAAAAGGUACGCUGGGGAUAACAGGCUGAUCACCACCAAGAGUUCAUAUCGACGUGGUGGUUUGGCACCUCGAUGUCGGCUCAUCACAUCCUGGGGCUGAAGAAGGUUCCAAGGGUUCGGCUGUUCGCCGAUUAAAGUGGUACGUGAGCUGGGUUCAGAACGUCGUGAGACAGUUCGGUCCAUAUCCGCUGCAGGCGCAUGAUAUUUGAGGGGACCUGUCCCUAGUACGAGAGGAUCGGGAUGGACGGACUUCUGGUGUAUCUGUUGUUCCGCCAGGAGCAUCGCAGAGUAGCCAUGUCCGGAAGGGAUAAGCGCUGAAUGCAUCUAAGCACGAAGCCCACCCCAAGAUUAGAUAUCACGGAGCUUAAGCUCCCUAAAGACCCCUUGAAGACUACGAGGUUGAUAGGCCAUAGAUGUAAGCGCAGUAACGCGUUGAGUCGAGUGGUACUAAUAGGUCGUGCGGUUUGGUCAU